rnacentral:miRNA from 15 species
CAAAACGUGAAGCGCUGCUACA